CUCGCCCGGGUACUACGAGCCUAAGCUUGAAACCCAAAGGACUUGGCGGUGCUUUAGACCCCCCUAGAGGAGCCUGUUCUAGAAUCGAUACUCCCCGUUCAACCUCACCCCCUCUUGUUCAUUCCCGCUCAUAUACCGCCGUCGUCAGCUUACCCUGUGAAGGACUAAAAGUAAGCUCAAUUGGUAAGGCCCAAAAAGUCAGGUCAACGUGUGGCGUACGAGGGGGGAAGAAAUGGGCUACAUUUGCUGAGUCAGCAAAUACGGACGUUGCACUGAAAAAGCACCUGAAGGAGGAUUUAGCAGUAAGAGAGGAAUAGAGCGCCUCUCUGAAGCCGGCCCUGAAGCGCGCACACACCGCCCGUCACCCUCCCCAAAAUCGCAGACCCUAAUAAGUAAUAAAAUAGCCCUACACAAGGGGAGGCAAGUCGUAACAUGGUAAGUGUACCGGAAGGUGCACUUGGAAAACCC
rnacentral:rRNA from 1 species